rnacentral:lncRNA from 10 species
CUAAGGUUAAGGUGGCUGCAGCCCUCUGUGUCUGCUUGGGACAGGAGAGUGGAAGUCGUGGUGUGAGUCCAGUCCCUCUCUCCCUCCCACCCUCCUUCCCACCUACCCUUCCUUCCUUCCUUCCUUCCUGCCUCUCUCUCUCCCUCCCUUCCUUCCUUCCUUCCUCUUUUCCUCCCUCCCUUCCUUUUUUCCUCCCUCCCUUCCUCCCUUCAUUUCUCCCCUUCUUCCCUUCAUUCCUCCCUCCCUUCCUCCCUUCAUUCCUCCCCUUCUUCCCUUCAUUCCUCCCUCCCUUCCUCCCUUCAUUCCUCCCCUUCUUCCUCUCUCCCUCCCUUCUUGCCACUCUCCUUCCUUCUCUGCCUUCCUUCCCUUAUUUUUAUGUCUGUGAAGCUGUCUCGGCUCUUAGAUCACCAGGUAGUAGCUCUCAGUAUUGGGUACCCUGGCACUUUGCCAGGGGACCAGUGGAACGCCUCCAGGAAAGUGGCUCACUUUGCCUGGCAGUGAUGGCAUGUGCAAUCUGCCUUAGCUCCUUUUAGCUAUGGCCAGUGGUCUGGUCACAUCAUCCCAGAGCCAGACAUCCUGAAGACCUGGAGCAAAGGCCAGCCCAGCAGGCAAAGUGUGACCACAACAGGCAAUUGUUCUAGAGGCUGGAAGUCCCAGAUCAAGGCCCAGCAGGGACAGUUCCUGGUGAGGACUCUCCUCCUGGCUUAUGAGAGAGAGAGAGAGAAUGAGCUUUCUGAUGUCUCUUCUUAUAAGGACACUAAUCCUAUCAGGU